rnacentral:rRNA from 1 species
UCCGCAGGCGGGCUAGUAAGUCAGGGGUGAAAGUUUGCGGCUUAACCGUAAAAUUGCCUUUGAUACUGCUGGUCUUGAGUUGCGGUGAAGUGGCCGGAAUAUGUGGUGUAGCGGUGAAAUGCAUAGAUAUCACAUAGAACACCGAUUGCGAAGGCAGGUCACUAACCGCCGACUGACGCUGAUGGACGAAAGCGUGGGGAGCGAACAGGAUUAGAUACCCUGGUAGUCC